GUUGGCAAGUGAUGUGAUUGUGAAAUCUUAAUCCUACACACCGAAAUUUUGUGUGGACUAAAACUCCGCUUAUUAACUGAUGCCCCU